GAGCUUUGUAGUUUUGGGCGCUUUCCUAGUGACACUCGUAUGCUUUGGGACACAUUUUGAAGAUGAAGAACCGGUGGUGGAGAGUUGACAACUCAUUCAAUGCCACUAUUUAUUUUCUUGCUAUCAAGUAUCAACCUUUAAGCACUUGAUGGACUCUCUUUCUCUGCAUUCUUUUCGCCGGAGAAUAAUACCAAAAUGGGUGUGGGUUUUAGGCCAAGUAUCAAGUGCGGUUUUCCAAUUCGCUCUGUCCUCAAUUCACCAUCCAGGCUCCCUUCUUCUUCUGUUAAAGGCAGGGAGGCUUCUUUCAACCUGACGAGGCUCUCUUUUCUGUCUGUUAUUUCUGAAGAGGGUGACAUUUUGUAUAGAGAUCCUUUCAAGGCUUAUGCUUAUUCACCUGCAAUGCAAAUCUUAGAGAAUGGGCAUUCUCAAGUGGAAGGAGCUAAGACGAUUUUUGAUAAAGGAUCUCAUAACACGAUUGAUGAUGCUGAAGUGUUGUCUGUUAAAUAUGACAUUCGUGUUCCCUCUUCAAGCUCAAAAGAGAAGAAUUCAAGGUUUUGUUUGUUAUUGGAAAAUCUUAAUAUCUUAGAGGAGUCUUUUGCUGAUUCUGAUGCACUGAAUUUGGAAAGGGAUAUUCUGCUACAAUUAGGAAGACUUGGAGCUCUAAAAUUAUUCAAUACAUGCCUGAGGAGGACCCUUGCUGAUGUUCCUACUGAAAAUAUUGGAGAGUGUAAAAUUAAUAACGCAUCAAAUGAUCUUGUAAAUGAAGUCAUUAUCCGUUCUGGGAAAAAGCAAGAAAGAAAAUCUAGAAGAGAAAGAGCCUCCUCAAAAUUUGGCCAUCUUGCUUAUUCUUUGUCAUUGCCUUCAGAACACAUUCAAAAUGGUCCUGGAAAGCCUAUUUUUUCCUCUGCUAAAAAAGCAUCAAAUUUCAAGAGUAGAAGAUUGAUAAUUGCUAGAAAUGAGGCGGAAAUGUCCAGGGGAGUUAAGGUUAUUAUAAACUUCUGCAAGAUAAAAGUGUUGUUUUCUUUUGUUGCUUGAAAAGUUUGUUGAAAAAUUGGGGGCAAAAGAAAUAAAAAGCCCAAAAAUGAGGACUUGAGUGAAGAAAACUUGUAUUGAAAGAGGACUAAAGUGAUA
rnacentral:misc_RNA from 1 species